rnacentral:rRNA from 1 species
CAGUCGCCACGGUAAUACGGAGGGGGCUAGCGUUAUUCGGAAUUACUGGGCGUAAAGCGCACGUAGGCGGAUCAGAAAGUCAGAGGUGAAAUCCCAGGGCUCAACCUUGGAACUGCCUUUGAAACUCCUGAUCUUGAGGUCGAGAGAGGUGAGUGGAAUUCCGAGUGUAGAGGUGAAAUUCGUAGAUAUUCGGAGGAACACCAGUGGCGAAGGCGGCUCACUGGCUCGAUACUGACGCUGAGGUGCGAAAGCGUGGGGAGCAAACAGGAUUAGAUACCCGCGUAGUCCCUGUCUCUUAUAC